rnacentral:lncRNA from 1 species
AUGGGAAGGAGGCAGAGCCGGUGGCCAAGCCGCAUCCAGGCUGUGAGAGAGUGCGGGGAAGCCCGGAGGGGACCCCGUGUACUCUGGCCAGCUGCCUGGAACAUCCCGGAACUUGGAGAGGCAGCCUCCUUCCGGGAGCACCAGGGCCCUGCACCUUGUGAGGCCCUGCACAGAGGGUGGGGGUGUGGUGGGGGGCGGAGAGGCUCCUUAUGGCCCUGUGGGGAAGGCACUGCCAGCAGCGCGGUGACCCGGGCCACGCACCAACGCAAACCUGGCUGUGGUUUCAGGACCCUGGAAACAGCUCCCAUCCUCAUCUCAACCUCAACCUCUCUCCGGCCAAGAGCUCCAUUCCUUUUCGGGCUGCUCCGUCCCCAGAGAAGAUGCUCGUUUUCUGAGUGGUGUGGAAGUCUGCUCCCGUCUACCGUCAGUCCAGGACGCCUGCCAUCCGUGGGACCUGGGAUCCUCAGGAACACGCAUCAUUGUUCCCUCCCUCUCAGGGCCAGGCUGGGGAGAGGGGCUGCAGGGGGUCGGGGAGGGGCAUCUGGGGACUAUCUGCGCCCCCCCCCACAUCCUGGUAACACCUCCUGUCAGCCCCUCUGAGAACCCCGGGGACAAGUCAGGCUGGUCUCAGCUUUCCCACGGCUGUUGAGGGUUUACUUCUCUGAGACGGCGUGUCAUUACCAUUUGUCGUCUCUGCUCUGGUUUCUAACAUUUGCUGCUGUCACAUCCUCUCCUGUCCUCCUUAUACCUGCAGAUUUGUGCCUAUAAAAAUAUCUCAUUACUGUCAUUUCUGGGAAGCUGCAAAGGGAAUGAAAGCAGGUGCAUGUGUUCAAUCACCAUCUGUACCCCAGACAUCAAAACAAUUUUUUUUUAAAUUAAAUUUUGCUGAAGUCAGUUUCGGUUUUUUGUCACCUUGACGGAUGCAGGCGAAAUUCCCACACCUGUCCUUCCAACGGGUGCUUGGGGAGCACUUCCUCCACACCAGGCCCAAGGGCCCAAAGCAAGGAUGUCUCAGGAGGACGGGGGAAGGUCGCACAAGGGCAGGGCCAGCCCCUGGUUCUGAGAGCUGCCCGCGAAGGAUGAGCUGACCUUGAAGUAAGGGGGUGGGCGGACAGCACAGAUAACGGCAAGGCGGGAAAGCAGGGUGGGGCAUGGUGCCGGGCGCUGACAGCGUAGGCAGGGAUGACUGGUGCGGGCGUUACUGGGGUAGGCCUUUGCAAUCAGGCUGAAGAUGUCAGGGGCUCUGUAGGCCCCCGGGAGUCUCCACAAAUCUGAGGAAAACGUGCUCAGAGCCCAGCUACAGGAAGACGGAUGUAGAGGGGAGGGAAAGGAGGCAGGAGACCCCAGCGGGGAGACUCCCAUCACCCAGGAGCUGGGAACGUUCUGGGUCCUGGUCUGCGUGGUGCUUACACAGGACACACGUAUGUGAAAACUUAUCAGACUGUGCACUUGGGGUUUCUGCGCUGAAUUGUACAUACAUGAUCCUUCACAACUGAGAAUGAGGACAAUACUACAAAUGUCCCAGGGAAGAGGUGAUGUUGCUCCAAGUUCAAGGGCAGCAGGAGUUUAGAGGUGGUCAGGGAAGGCUGCCUCGAGGAGGGGCCUGGAGAGGACCCCUGGCUGGGAGAAAGCAAAGCAGUCUGGGAGCCAGUGGGCAGAAGCCCCAGGAACGACAGGGACAGAACAUUCUAGAGAAAGAUGUUGCUUGAGUGCAACUGAUGGAUCCACACCAAGACCAUGGCUCUGAAAUGCAGCAGGACCCUGCCCCAGGAAGCUGGGACAGGCCUUUAACCCCAGCAAAAGGACCCUCCGCUUUAUCUAAGGGAUCCCCCAAAGGGGGCUCCCAGCAGCAGGCUCCUUGGGGUGUAAAAAUGGGAUUUGAGGGUCCGAGUCCCAGGCAGAGGCAGCAACUUGUGGGAAGGGACACCAGCGCCCGCCCCUGGGGGCCCCCCACAUGGACAAAUACGUGCUGGAGGGCAAGGGCUGGGUCCUGCCACACUCGGGCAGCAUUGCGGACUCGGCAAAUGUCUGUAUGCAUGUGUGUCAGGAUGACCCCGGCCCACCUCCAGGAUGGAGAAGGCUCAAAGACAGGCUCGGGCCCGGUGGUCCAGGGGGCACGUCUGCAGGACUUCAGGGCCUGGGGGUGGCGAGCCACACAUCUCCUGGACUCCCCCAUGAGGAGCCCAGGGAGGACAGUGCCCUUCCUCAGGGAUGACAAGUGAGGGAGCAGGUGAACCCGGGUGGUUAACAACCCCCCCCCCCCGCCCCAUACCCUCACUGUCUGGGUUGGCUUGGGCCACGCUAGCUCCUGCUUGCUUCCUGCUCUGGGUAAGGAGCCUGGGGCCACCCACUGUAAAGACAGGGGAUAUGAGGACAUUCAAGGUCGGGGUGACCGGCCCCCUGCCCUCGAGUGGGCCGUCCUCACUCAGCCACCCAGGCCUCCAGUGUUCACAACCCAGCUUCUGGGCCAGGCUGGGCACAUCCCACUCACCCCCAACAGAGGCUCUCUGCCCACAGCAGUCUUAAGGCCCUGGGCCCAUCAUUCCAGAAAGAUUCACCAGGAAGUACGACUGCCCAGCACUUGACCAGUGAGGCUCGUGCAGGCUCGCUGUGGGAGCGCCCUGGGAGACCCCAGCAGAGACCCCGACAAGCCACAUUUCUGACCCGAGGCUGCCCCCUGGUGGGAGGCACUGGGGAUCAGGCCGGCCCAGCUCCACAAGGCCCCUCCGAGGACCCAGGCCGUCUGGGCUGCUGCCCCCCCCCCCCCCCCCCCCCCGGUUCAGGGGGCCCCUGCUCUUCAUGUUCCCUUGUGCACAAGGCUGCAGGGUCCGCAGCAGCCAGCAGGAGAGGGGGCAUCGGCCCUGUGGAAGAGCUGGGGGUCACUCCAGGGAAAUCAAAGGGACCAGGACAAUGUCCCCGGGGAAGUCCCGGCCUGGAAAGGGGCAAGAUCCUGGAGGGUUGCCGCACGGUGGCCUCGAUGUGUGACCUUGAGCCUCAGUCACCUCAUGCAUGAAAUGGGAACAGCCCCAGGGCCCCACUCCUCAGAGCCCUGCAGCCCAUCACGGCGGCCACUGAGCACGCAGAACGUGGUCCUACUGGGGACAUGCUACAAGUGUGAUAUGCACCCGGGGCCUCCAGGAUUUGGUGCAAAAAACCCCCGACCACCCAGAACAUGAACUAUCUCACAAAUAGUUCUGAUGUGACUCACAAGUUGGAACAAUAUUUUGGAUAUACCGGGUCAAGUACAUUAUCAAAAUUAAUUUCACCUCUUGCUUUCUGCUUUUUAAGGCAGUUCCUCACCCCCUCCCCCAAAUUUUAAGUCACCAUGUGGCUCAAAGGGUUCUGGAGGAUUCGAUCAGUAAACCUUGACAAAGGGCGGCCAAUCCUAUC